GUGACACAGCAACCUGUAUCUAUAAAAAUAGGAGAUGAACAGGACUUGCACUGGGCAGUAAAGCCUGAUGGUUAGAAUGCAGGUUCCAGAGAGCUAGCUGCCUGGCCCCCAGUCCUGCCUUUGUGUCCUAACAACUCUGUGACCUUGGACUGCUCUGUUCACUCAUUCAUUCAUGCAUUCCCAAGAGCACCAGAAACUCAGGCAUACAGCUCUGCCCAGGCAGACAAGUCCAAUGUCCCUCCAUGGAAGAAUGGAUCAUCAAAAGUUUCAUCCAAUUAAUAUAUUCAAAGAAAUGUGAUUUAACCGUAAAAAGGAAAGAAGCGCUGACACAUUCUACAACACAGGAGAGCUUGAGAACAUCAUGCUAAGCAAAAGGAGCCAGACACAGACGGCCACACCUCUUAUGAUUCAAUAAGCAGGAAGUAUUCAGAGCAGCGCUGCCUCUGAAUCUUCCCCAUUGUCCCUUCCUGCUUCAGCCCUCUGUCCCAUUUCACCAUCACCACCACUGCACGAUGCUGUUUUCAGUAAGGAUGCCAACAACCUCUCAGUCGCCAGAUUUCGUGGAUAUAUUUUAUUCCUUGUUUUACUUGACCCCUGGGCACAUUCAGCAUCACCAACCUUCUAUACUUCUUGGAGCAAUUUCUCUGUUUGAUUUCUAUGACUCUCCAAGGUCCCAUGUUCUCCUGGUUUCUAACUUUAACUUCCAUGAUUCCGUCUUAUCUUUCUAGAGCUCUCUUCUCUCCAUAAUCAGCAGUUCCAGCCAUUCUUUCUGAG
rnacentral:lncRNA from 1 species